CCUACGGGGGGCUGCAGUGGGGAAUAUUGCACAAUGGGGGAAACCCUGAUGCAGCGACGCCGCGUGAGUGAAGAAGUAAUUCGUUAUGUAAAGCUCUAUCAGCAGGGAAGAAAAUGACGGUACCUGAGUAAGAAGCCCCGGCUAACUACGUGCCAGCAGCCGCGGUAAUACGGAGGGGGCAAGCGUUAUCCGGAUUUACAGGGUGUAAAGGGAGCGUAGACGGCAGUGCAAGGCUGGAGUGAAAGGAGGGGGCGCAACCCCCGGACUGCUCUGGAAACUGUACGGCUGGAGUGCAGGAGAGGUAAGUGGAAUUCCUAGUGUAGCGGUGAAAUGCGUAGAUAUUAGGAGGAACACCAAGAGCGUAGGCAGGUUGCUGGGACGGUUCUGACACUAAGGCACGAAAGCGUAGGGAGCAAACGGGAUUAGAUACCCCUGUAGUC
rnacentral:rRNA from 1 species